rnacentral:rRNA from 13 species
AACGGAUUAAUAUUUCCGUACUUAUAUAAUCAGUGAUGGAGGGACGGAGAAGGCUAAGCAAGCUUGGCGUUGGUUGUCCAAGUGAAAGCAAGUAGGCCGAGUGUUUAGGUAAAUCCGGACGCUUAAAGCUGAGAUGCGAGACGAGCUACUACGGUAGUGAAGUUGUUGAUGCCCUGCUUCCAGGAAAAGCUUCUAAACUUAUGAUUAUAUGAACCGUACCCCAAACCGACACAGUAAAAAAAGUUUAAAAAAAA